AACGAACGCUGGCGGCAGGCCUAACACAUGCAAGUCGAACGAAGUCUUCGGACUUAGUGGCUGACGGGUGAGUAACACGUGGGAACGUGCCUUUAGGUUCGGAAUAACUCAGGGAAACUUGUGCUAAUACCGAAUGUGCCCUUCGGGGGAAAGAUUUAUCGCCUUUAGAGCGGCCCGCGUCUGAUUAGCUAGUUGGCGAGGUAAAGGCUCACCAAGGCGACGCUCAGUAGCUGGUCUGAGAGGAUGAUCAGCCACAUUGGGACUGAGACACGGCCCAAACUCCUACGGGAGGCAGCAGUGGGGAAUCUUGCGCAAUGGGCGAAAGCCUGACGCAGCCAUGCCGCGUGAAUGAUGAAGGUCUUAGGAUUGUAAAAUUCUUUCACCGGGGACGAUAAUGACGGUACCCGGAGAAGAAGCCCCGGCUAACUUCGUGCCAGCCGCCGCGGUAAAAC
rnacentral:rRNA from 1 species